UGCUGGGCCCAUAACCCAGAGGUCGAUGGA
rnacentral:piRNA from 5 species